rnacentral:rRNA from 1 species
UUUCCAGCUCCGCGAGGCAGCUGGUAAUCAGCAAUAUGCGUCGUGAUGGGGAUAGAUCUUUGGAAUUAUAGAUCUUGAACGAGGAAUUCCUAGUAAGCGCAAGUCAUUAGCUUGCGCUGAUUAAGUCCCUGCCCUUUGUACACACCGCCCGUCGCUCCUACCGAUUUCGAGUGAUCCGGUGAACCUUUUGGACCGCGUGGGGUCUCGUACUUCAUGUGGAAAAUCAAGUAAACCAUAUCACUUAGAGGAAGGAGAAGUCGUAACAAGGUUUCCGUAGGUGAACCUGCGGA